rnacentral:rRNA from 1 species
GGACGAACGCUGCCGGCGUGCCUAAUACAUGCAAGUAGAACGCUGAAGAGAGGAGCUUGCUCUUCUUGGAUGAGUUGCGAACGGGUGAGUAACGCGUAGGUAACCUGCCUUGUAGCGGGGGAUAACUAUUGGAAACGAUAGCUAAUACCGCAUAACAAUGGAUGACACAUGUCAUUUAUUUGAAAGGGGCAAUUGCUCCACUACAAGAUGGACCUGCGUUGUAUUAGCUAGUAGGUGAGGUAAUGGCGCACCUAGGCGAGGAUACAUAGCCGACCUGAGAGGGUGGUCGGCCGCACUGGGACUGAGACACGGCCCAGACGCCUACGGGAGGCAGCAGUAGGGAAUCUUCGGCAAUGGGGGCAACCCUGACCGAGCAACGCCGCGGGAGUGAAGAAGGUUGUCGGAUCGUAAAGCUCUGUUGUAAGUCAAGAACGGGUGUGAGAGUGGAAAGUUCACACUGUGACGGUAGCUUACCAGAAAGGGACGGCUAACUACGUG